rnacentral:lncRNA from 1 species
ACUAUCCUAAUUGCAUAAAUUUAAACUGCAUAAUUUAAACUAACCUAAUUGCAUAAAUUAAACUAUCCUAAUUGCAAGAAAAAUAAAUUGCAUAAUGUAAAGAGAUAAAAUUACAUAAAAAUAAGAUUUUAUAUAAAAAAAAUUAUUACAAAAAUUUCAAAGCUCGAGGCUUGAGAAGAAAGCUAAAAACCCCACUAUCUAGGGUUACAAGC